rnacentral:rRNA from 1 species
UUGGUGUGGUUGUUGCUGGCCCUCUCGGGGGCAUGUGCACACCCACCAUCCUCAUCUCUCCACCUGUGCACCUCUUGUAGACCUGGAUUGACUUUCCGAGGCAACUCGGUCGGGAAGAUUGCUGCGCUCUGUGAGCCAGCUUUCUUUGCAUGUCCAGGCCUAUGUUUUUCAUAUACCCCUAUAGAAUGUAACAGAAUGUAUCAUUGGGCCUUGUGCCUAUAAACCUUAUACAACUUUCAGCAACGGAUCUCUUGGCUCUCGCAUCGAUGAAGAACGCAGCGAAAUGCGAUAAGUAAUGUGAAUUGCAGAAUUCAGUGAAUCAUCGAAUCUUUGAACGCACCUUGCGCUCCUUGGUAUUCCGAGGAGCAUGCCUGUUUGAGUGUCAUUAAAUUCUCAACCUUAUUAACUUUUGUUGAUAAUGGAUUGGAUUGUGGGGGUUUCUUUUGCUGGCUUCUUCACAGAGAUCAGCUCCCCUUAAAUGCAUUAGCUGGUGCCCCGCGUGGACCAUCUAUUGGUGUGAUAAUUAUCUACGCCGUGGAUGUCUGCAAUCAUAUGGGUUUCGCACUGCUUCUAACCGUCUGUUCAUUCGGACAAUACAUGACAAUUUGACCUCAAAUCAGGUAGGACUACCCGCUGAACUUAAGCAUAUCAAUAAGCGGAGGAAAAGAAACUAACAAGGAUUCCCCUAGUAACUGCGAGUGAAGCGGGAAAAGCUCAAAUUUAAAAUCUGGCGGUCUCCGGCCGUCCGAGUUGUAAUCUAGAGAAGUGUUAUCCGCGCUGGACCGUGUACAA